rnacentral:rRNA from 1 species
GAUGAACGCUGGCGGCGUGCCUAAUACAUGCAAGUCGAGCGAAUGGAUUAAGAGCUUGCUCUUAUGAAGUUAGCGGCGGACGGGUGAGUAACACGUGGGUAACCUGCCCAUAAGACUGGGAUAACUCCGGGAAACCGGGGCUAAUACCGGAUAACAUUUUGAACCGCAUGGUUCGAAAUUGAAAGGCGGCUUCGGCUGUCACUUAUGGAUGGACCCGCGUCGCAUUAGCUAGUUGGUGAGGUAACGGCUCACCAAGGCAACGACGCGUAGCCGACGUGAGAGGGGGGUCAGCCACACUGGGACUGAGACACGGCCCAGACUCCUACGGGAGGCAGAAGUAGGGAAUCUUCCGCAAUGGACGAAAGUCUGACGGAGCAACGCCGCGUGAGUGAUGAAGGCUUUCGGGUCGUAAAACUCUGUUGUUAUGGAAGAACAAGUGCUAGUUGAAUAAGCUGGCACCUUGACGGUACCUAACCAGAAAGCCACGGCUAACUACGUGCCAGCCGCCGCCGUAA